rnacentral:rRNA from 1 species
UAAUACGUAGGUGGCAAGCGUUGUCCGGAUUUACUGGGCGUAAAGGGCGUGCAGGCGGUUUGUUAAGUGCAGAGUGAAAGCUCUCGGCUCAACUGGGAGAGGUCUUUGCAUACUGGCAAACUCGAGGGAGGCAGAGGAAAGUGGAAUUCCCGGUGUAGUGGUGAUAUGCGUAGAUAUCGGGAGGAACACCUGUGGC